UUGAAACUUGGUGUUCUCUCUUUGUGAA
rnacentral:piRNA from 1 species